rnacentral:rRNA from 1 species
UACAGAGGUCCCAAGCGUUGUUCGGAUUCACUGGGCGUAAAGGGUGCGCAGGUGGGUUUGCAAGUUCGAUGUGAAAGCCCCCGGGCUUAACCCGGGAAUGGCAUUGGAUACUGCAGAUCUGGAGGAUCGGAGGGGGGACUGGAAUUCCUGGUGUAGCGGUGAAAUGCGCAGAUAUCAGGAGGAACACCAGUGGCGAAGGCGCCACUCUGGGCCGUAACUGACGCUGAGGAGCGAAAGCGUGGGUAGCAAACAGG